rnacentral:rRNA from 1 species
UACCAGCACCCCGAGUGGUCGGGACGUUUAUUGGGCCUAAAGCAUCCGUAGCCGGUUCUACAAGUCUUCCGUUAAAUCCAGCUGCUUAACAGAUGGGCUGCGGAAGAUACUAUGGAGCUAGGAGGCGGGAGAGGCAAGCGGUACUCGAUGGGUAGGGGUAAAAUCCGUUGAUCCAUUGAAGACCACCAGUGGCGAAGGCGGCUUGCCAGAACGCGCUCGACGGUGAGGGAUGAAAGCUGGGGGAGCGAACCGG